rnacentral:rRNA from 1 species
UAAGGCGAGGCCGAAAGGCGUAGUCGAUGGGAAACAGGUUAAUAUUCCUGUACUUGGUGUUACUGCGAAGGGGGGACGGAGAAGGCUAUGUUGGCCGGGCGACGGUUGUCCCGGUUUAAGCGUGUAGGCUGGUUUUCCAGGCAAAUCCGGAAAAUCAAGGCUGAGGCGUGAUGACGAGGCACUACGGUGCUGAAGCAACAAAUGCCCUGCUUCCAGGAAAAGCCUCUAAGCAUCAGGUAACAUCAAAUCGUACCCCAAACCGACACAGGUGGUCAGGUAGAGAAUACCAAGGCGCUUGAGAGAACUCGGGUGAAGGAACUAGGCAAAAUGGUGCCGUAACUUCGGGAGAAGGCACGCUGAUAUGUAGGUGAAGUCCCUCGCGGAUGGAGCUGAAAUCAGUCGAAGAUACCAGCUGGCUGCAACUGUUUAUUAAAAACACAGCACUGUGCAAACACGAAAGUGGACGUAUACGGUGUGACGCCUGCCCGGUGCCGGAAGGUUAAUUGAUGGGGUCAGCGCAAGCGAAGCUCUUGAUCGAAGCCCCGGUAAACGGCGGCCGUAACUAUAACGGUCCUAAGGUAGCGAAAUUCCUUGUCGGGUAAGUUCCGACCUGCACGAAUGGCGUAAUGAUGGCCAGGCUGUCUCCACCCGAGACUCAGUGAAAUUGAACUCGCUGUGAAGAUGCAGUGUACCCGCGGCAAGACGGAAAGACCCCGUGAACCUUUACUAUAGCUUGACACUGAACAUUGAGCCUUGAUGUGUAGGAUAGGUGGGAGGCUUAGAAGUGUGGACGCCAGUCUGCAUGGAGCCGACCUUGAAAUACCACCCUUUAAUGUUUGAUGUUCUAACGUUGACCCGUAAUCCGGGUUGCGGACAGUGUCUGGUGGGUAGUUUGACUGGGGCGGUCUCCUCCUAAAGAGUAACGGAGGAGCACGAAGGUUGGCUAAUCCUGGUCGGACAUCAGGAGGUUAGUGCAAUGGCAUAAGCCAGCUUGACUGCGAGCGUGACGGCGCGAGCAGGUGCGAAAGCAGGUCAUAGUGAUCCGGUGGUUCUGAAUGGAAGGGCCAUCGCUCAACGGAUAAAAGGUACUCCGGGGAUAACAGGCUGAUACCGCCCAAGAGUUCAUAUCGACGGCGGUGUUUGGCACCUCGAUGUCGGCUCAUCACAUCCUGGGGCUGAAGUAGGUCCCAAGGGUAUGGCUGUUCGCCAUUUAAAGUGGUACGCGAGCUGGGUUUAGAACGUCGUGAGACAGUUCGGUCCCUAUCUGCCGUGGGCGCUGGAGAACUGAGGGGGGCUGCUCCUAGUACGAGAGGACCGGAGUGGACGCAUCACUGGUGUUCGGGUUGUCAUGCCAAUGGCACUGCCCGGUAGCUAAAUGCGGAAGAGAUAAGUGCUGAAAGCAUCUAAGCACGAAACUUGCC